UCUAAUGACUAACUCUAAAGACAUUUCAUUUUGUUGUUAUUUUGUUGUUUUCACUUAGAUUGUUCACACUAUGAUUUUCAAAUGUGUUGCAGAGUUAUUUGAUUUUGAUAAACCACCAUAAUGGAAAUUGUCUUAAGUUCGUCAAAGCAUAUAUAUCAGCACUAUAGGGCAGAUUUCAUCCUGGUUACUCAGUUUUCUUGCAGCCCAUGCCACCUAAGCUAACAAGUUUCCUUCUAAGCCUGCAGUCCAAGUGACCAAACCAUGAUUUGAAGUUUAAUUCUGGCGCACUCUGUGACAGUUUAGUAAACUCAGUGUUUCCUCUACAUUCAUUUAGCAGUGGCGGUCCGCCACUGCUAAAUCAUAGCCGCCACGCCUUCAAAUUUCUUUUAUUUUUUUAUUUUUUUAUUUUUUUUAUUGUCGCAAAUGCACCACCGCCACAUCUCUCCACCUUCACAGCACAGCCUGUGUGAUGAUGAGCGCAACAGCGGGGGGAGGGGAGGGAGGGAGUGGGGUGGUUGGGGGAUCCUAUUGGAGUUAAUUACUCGAGAGAGCGCGGCCUUGAAAGUGACGUUACGUCAGGCACUAGGUGAGAGUCAGAGAAGUGUAGUCGUGAGGAAUAAGGCAGCGAAAUUACCGGAGAAAAGAUGAGCUUGUUCAGAUACUUCUCUAAGAAGAGAAAGACAACAGAUGAAGAAGACGCUAGUCAGGUAGCCUAUCAUAAGCCUUUUACUGACUCGUAAAUGAUGAUGGUUA